UUCCCUGUAUCCCCUGUACUGAAGGCACAGGGCUGCCUGGGCACACAAUACACUUGUCUUGUUCACUUCUACUCAUUGGAGAGCAAGCGGAGUCUAUUCUACGUGGAAAUAUGUGAAGUAUUGCUAGGGAUGGGGAGCUAACUGCACUGAACUGCCUUCUGGAGAGAAUGAAAAGAAUGGAGUGGAAGUGUGGAAAGAGUGGAAAAGGCUGGAUUGUGCUUAAUCAUGAAGCAGCACCAGGCUGAUAUAGGAUGCCACUGCCUAUUAUAUCUCCGGGCAGCACCAGUCUGAGGGUGUUGAGAAAGAAACAUAGUAAGAUUAUGCCAAAGCCACUCCUGUUUAUACAGAAAAAGGAUUGUUUUGUGCCUUAUUUUUUUGGUAAAGAUUGAAGGCUUAUCCACAAAAUAGGAACUGAUCCAGCCAGAAAGUAACCUGAAAAAGAAGUGCUGAGCUCUGUGAACCUUCUUCCUAGGAGAUCAGAUUAGAAACCAAUAUAGCUGGGAGCCCAGGGAUGAAAGCUUUAAACCUGGAGGGUGCCUGGUACUUCCUGAGAACCUCACAGGGAAAACGUUCAGUCCCCAAACAGCCUUGCUAACAGAUACGUUUUUAUAGUCUAUUAUUUUCUUUCUUCGUUCUUUGUUUCAUUUGAAUAUAAUAGGCUCUUUAUUUUUAACUGCUCGUCUGUUCCUGCUGUUUAUAUCCUCAUCCCAAAAUCAUAAUUCUCUGGUUAUUUUCUUUUUUCCUUUUUUGACAUCAUUUGGUUACUGUCUAACCAUACUACAAUGCCUGUAAAGAAGGGACAUGGUUUAUUUUUUUUACAUUUUCCAUUUUCCUCCCUGUCUUUUCAAUAGAAUCCCAUAUUUCAAUUUGAACUAAAAAGUUGUAGCCUUAUUUAUAGGUCUUGAAUUUUGGCAGUGAUGUAAGUGUAUUAUAUGCUUGUAUGACUUCAUGAGAGAAAAAGCUGGAGCUGCAGAUGAAUAUGUAAAAAUGUUAUUUUCCUGUUUGUUUUUAUAAUGCGUGAGAUGGAGAAAAGACUUUAGGCCUGUGAUAGUAUAGUUAUUUUAUUUCAAAAUCAUCUGUUUAUUCAUUUAGAUAGAUAGAUGGAGAACUUCCUGGCAUCGCAGUCUUUAAUUUGGAUAAAUACGCAACAUAGAGUACUUGUGUUCAUCUUAUCCUGGCAUUCAUCUUAUAAAAUCCAUUUCAGGGUACUAUCUGUGAGAGCCAGUUCCCCUCUCAUGCUGCCCCUGCACAACCCCGUUCCUCCAGCCAUUGAGGGUGAAACAGUGGUGUUUGCUCAACUGCCCUGCACAUACAAGUGGCUCUGCAUGCUGCUGGGUCAGCAUGACACAAAUGUACCACCUCUGAUACUCUGCAGCAGACCUUGUUGUGAGUUCUUGCCCACUGGCAGCAAAACAGACUGGAGAGCCGGAGUCAGGCUUUGCUCUCCAUGCUGCCAUUGCCUCCAAGUGACUUUUGGGCAAGUUUGUAAACCUGGUGCUUACUUUACCCUUCUCUAAGUUAGCAGUUGCAGUGCCUGCCUCCAAGAGUGUUUGAGAAUAGAACUGGUGGGAAAAAAAAGUUUUUUGACCCAGAAAACCCGUUAUACGUACUUGCCUGUAAUUAUUUAGCAUAGAACAUUACUUAUUUACAUGCAUGCACAACAUUAAUUUAGCUUCCAAUUUAAUCAUAACGAAAACCCAAAUAAUUAAAAUCUUCAUUACAGAAUGUUUCCUCAUCUCCAGGUCUGUCAAGGUUCAGUCAUAAUGCAUCUUACUGUGAGAUAGUUAAAUGCUCCAGUUGGGGUUUGCUAUUCUGUGGAAAAAAAGUAUACUUUUUUUUAACUGAAAUGGGAUUUGCUGCUCUAAAGCUGUUUCAGGAAUACCUUUCUGUUGCAUAACUAAAAGAAGUACCUGGAAAUGAUUUUAAGCUGCUUGCAAAAGAACAGCCAGGCAUCUAUGACCUUAUAAUUAUUAAUUAUAAUGCAAUUAAUAAUUAUUAUUAUGAUUACUUAACUCUUCUAAGUGUAUAUGUUCUUUUUAUGUGCCUUCUUGUUCUUUUUAUGUGCAUUCUUUUUUGCAGAUUGAUCACCUUAAUUAUGGUAUGUCUGUUUGCAUGUACUUAGUGACUAUUAAAAUGAAACCUGAAGUGCAUUCUCAAACAAAUUAGGAACUGCUUUGUAUGUUUUGAGGCUAUCUCAGUGGGAAUGGACUAGAGUUUUUCAUCUCCCUGUGCUGAUGUAGUUUGGACUUUGCAUUAUGUCAUUUUCCCAGACUUUUGACAGAAAAUGCUCCCUCUGUUCUCAGUAUUUUGACCAUUACUGGUAAUUGUCUAAUGAUUAACUCUUAGAGCAAUGGGGAAGAAAGCAUAUGCCAUCAUCCUGAAAUGCUGAAUUCUAGCAGCUCCUGAAAGGGAUAAAUCUCUAGAAAUUUACAGAACAACGCAUUUUGUGGCUGUGUCAUGUAAUUUAAUUUUCAUGUUUCAGUCACUUUUCACAAUUACCUGGGCAACUAGAAAAUCCAGAAAUCCCCACUGUAUAGUCAUCUGCUUGCAAGUCCCCACAGGAAACACCUGCAAUACUGAAUUAAAUACAGAUGCCAUUUUAUGAUCUUUAAAUAAUAACUUGAAAGAAUAAAAUACCUGUGGAAUGGGUCUCAAAAAUCCAUUGAGAUUAAGCCUCAAUUUGAGCCCCACUUUGCUGAACCCCUGCUUUGCACACGAGGUAUGUCUACACAAGAAAGAUGAGUCAAGUUUUGUGCUAUUUUUCUCUUUUUCUUCCCUGGCAGUAUUGGGGUCACUUGAGGCAGUCACUGCCCAUGCUCACCCAGAUGAGCAGUGCAACCGUUGUGUCCUUUCCUACAGCAUUUUUGGCAAUGUUCAUGUAGAAGUGCACCAGAUCUGAUGAGCUGUCCGGCCUGAGCCUGUUGGCAGAGUUGAGACUCUGAAAUAUUGUGCUGUUCUUCCUCUCCCUCAGAUAAGGCAGGAGCCUUCUUACCUCUGUUUACACUGCUAUCUCCUGGGCAGUUUUUCCAUUCUGCUUCAGCUGCUUUCCUCAGCAGAGCCUAUUAUGGGUACAUCGCAAAACUUUUCCUUUUGUUCUUAGCUUGAGAUCUCCAUUACUGGGGAAGGAUAGCUGAGGCUUUGGGAUUAAGGAGACCUGAGUAGGUGUUUUUUUUUUCUUUCUUGUCUUAGUUCUUCAUUCUUCAUCACCAAAUUGAGUUAUAAAGAGAAGUUAUAACAUUUGGCUGCCUCGCUGGCUCAUGCAUUGGUGUUUAUAGCAGGUUUUGAGAAUGUCCUUAGAAAAUAAAGUGCUAUCGGUGAUGGUAGUGUAAUACUAUGGUUGUCUUAAUUUUUGCAUAAUUUAAACAAGUUUUUAAAUUUUCUACACCUCAGAAAUUAAAUCACUUCUAAUGUCAUAACUAGAACUUGUUGUACACCAGUUACACACCAAUUAUUUGUGCCUUUCUUAGGCUAAAAGGAAACAAAAGUAAAGAAGUGGAUAAAGAUUCUGAAUCAGAAUUGAUGUUGAACAGGAAGAAUAUUCAUAAGGCAUCCUUAUAGGGUGGAGGCAUAUACUGCAAAAUAAAAUGAUUCAGAGAAGCAUUUCAUCGCUUUGAUUAGGUUAUGUGUAUGCAACCCUAUUGUAAGUGUUGGUAUCUCUACUUUGGGAGCUAAAGAGACCACCCUUUUUGAGCUGGCCAUCUCUUACUUCAGCAUGAAAAACAGCCGUCUUGAGGCCUUACAAUGAAAUUACUGCUGGAUGAACUCAGAGAAUCACCUUGUGGUUUUGAAUUAGAGUUUCUCCAACUACAAACUUGAGAGGAAAAAUUCAUAUUGUUGCCUCGCUCUGACAGCACUGGGGCAGUGAUAUGAUGAAGACAAGCAAAUUUUCCAUUGCUGUAUAUCAUGGAAAGGUAAAAUGUAGCUGGCCACUUCCUCAGUUUGGCAGUCACAAGUAUGUGAAAAGAAGCUACUUCUGCAUUGCCAUGAUUUUCUUUGGCCUAAGAUUAGGUAGAAGAUGCUUGAUCAAAUCAGUCAAACUCGGGCUUCCCGCUGUGAAUCUAACAGAUGAUAAAUAUGAACUUGAGUUCUCAUGAAUUUUCAGCCAUGAGUCCAUCUGGGAAUAAUUCCACUGAGAGAAGAAGGCUUCCAUUCUAUCAAGAAAAAAGGCUGCAUGGAAAUCACGGAAAGCUACAGAAAAAAGCUUACCAUCAACAGUGACUAUCUUAUUUGCCAUGCACAGGCCAUGUUAAAAUACAGUACUUGUACAUGGUUGCAGUACACUGGAAACAAAUGCUUUUUGUGAUUUGUCUGAAUGGAUAACUUGUUCUGCUGAGAAGAAACUAAUGCACAAGCUACCUUGCAGCUGGUGAUGAGACCUCAAUAGCUAAACAGAAGCACCAAGGUUUGGGAAAUUACAAAAUUUCAAGGAAUUUAAGAGAAUCUUGGAGGAUGAUAGUCACUGGUAGAAUGGCAGGGACUGUAUUAGAGGAAAAAUAAUGAAGAUCAGCUGUGCUUAGAAGAACUACAUAAAGAAAAUGAAGCCAUUGGCCUGAACCACUGAUUGAUCACCUGAGAAAAGGACUGAGUCAGUUGGGAGCACAGGUGAAGGUAAUUCAGCUGUGAAUUCAUUUAGACCCCCCGCAUUUAAGGGCUGACUGCCACUAGGGAACGGUCUCUUUCUGGACGUCUCUUCUCUGUGGAGUCUUUCUUGCAAAUCUGGAUCUUUGGAUAUAGCUACUUAACUGAAACGACUAAGAGAAGAAAUGAGCAUGGGAAAGAAAGCUGUUUUCUAGAUUGGUUUACUGAGACUGGAACUGAUGGCCGAUAGCUUAAACUGCACAUGUGACACCAGAGCAAAGAAACACAAACAUCCUUACCAUCAAGAAGGCUAGGCGGGGCAGUACUGAAGGGAUUAUUCUAGCAACUCCUGAAAUGCAAAACCUUCUGUGGCAAGAGAGAAGAGGCAGUCUUCUGUCUACUGCUCUGACCUGACGGACAUGCUCUCUCCAAGUAUGACUUCAUUCAGGUAGUAAGACCAAGAACUGCGUUAAAAAACAGAAAGAUUGGCCCUAGGCAGACAGGGAAAAAACAGUGGUGAAGAUAUUCAGAAAACCAUCAUGAUUCUCUGCAAGAUCCUUUGAGGAACUCCACUACAAGAAAACAAAAAUGGACUUGAAUUACUGCAGACUAGCUAAGAUACCAAUCUUCCCGAUUAAAGACUAAAAUGCCUUUCUUUCUUGCCAUUCUCACAAUGGAGAAUCAUGAAGCUGCCUUUACUUGCUGAGUAACUCAGAGAAUGUGCCAACAUUUAGUCCAAGAAGACUAAAUCCACAGUGAUCCUCCCUAGAAGAGCCUUGGGAAGGCCCUGGAGAGAGCCAGGAUCCUGCAGAAUGUGUAAGGAGAGGUCUCUGAUGUCUUCACUUUGCCUGACUGCUCUACUGACAGAACGCACGUUUUUCAAGCAAAAGAUUCCUGUGGAGGAGUAAAACAGCCUGAAGGUACCACUUAUGAUGUAAAAGAGUGUUCUCCGUGACCUUAGCGAACCUAUGAACUGACCAAGAAAGCUUCUUUUCAUAAAAUGGAGAGGAUAGGAGGGAAAUAUUGAGAAAGCAUGUGCAAGCAACCUCGAGGAACGAAUUUGUGAAUUUAAAGCAUCAUUCAGCUUAUCAGCCUCUGCUUCAGUUACUGUGACAUCAUUUAUCAAGGUCCUCUCGGGGAUUUGAAAUUAAUGCGGAGGCUAAAAGUUCCCAGACUUCAUAUUGCGCAAUGGUGGUGUUCUUUGGAGAAAAGAUCAGCUACCCUGCCUCCAGCCCUUUCCCCAUAGCAUGAUCUGAAGUGGGACAGAAGCAUCAGAAGUACAGUGCAGAGGUAAAAAGAGUAAUUUGUUUCCUGGGAGAUGUCACUGUUGUCAUGAGAGACAUGAGAUGUCAUCCUUCUAGAACAGUAGAAAUACGAAAUCAUGGCUUGAAACAAUAAUUGAGCUCCUGAUGGGAAGGCAGGACCAACCAAGGGGAGCUCAGGUGCAUGCAAUUCACCUGAGUGAUUGCACCUGCUAGAGCCAGGAUCCAUUCCUUCCCAGACCUCAUUUAAGGGCUGGCAGUGGAGGUAAGGGUAUCUGGCUGGAGAUUCCUGUCUACUGGAGGUCCUCUAAAGGAAAGAAAGUCCGUAGCUUGUGUGGAAUUUGCAUGAUAGAAAAGAGGAAAGUAAUAUAAAGAAAUCUGCAGUUGAAAAGCGAAAUCAGGCUUAAUGCUGCAUCUGACUUAAAGCAAUCUUCAUUUUUAUGAAGCUUUUGAAUUCUUUGAAAGUAGAUGGAUUUACAAAUCCAGAGCUGGAACAAAAUUGUGAACCUUAAAAGAGAGACUAUACUUCCAAAACAUGAGGUUACCAAGUGGUUCCUGUUACCAAGUGCUUGGUUGCCAAUCAAAUCAUCACCUUCUAGUUAUUGCACAUUUGGAAGACAGUUUACUUAGGCUAUUUAUUAAGGAAAUACAGCACCCCACUUAGUACCUGAUACGCUACAUAUAGUUCCCUAUCUGGGAACUAUACAUAAUACUUAAAUUCCACAAAAUCACUGUUUAUAUAAAGGUUUCCCUUUCAUUCAAUUAGGCAGUUAUUAACAUCAUGCAUAAGAACACUGCUUUAUAGUGCUGCAGGCCUCAUUCACUUGCCUUCCACAGAGGAGCAAAAGCCUUAUUUGAUCUACAAGAAUGGACAUUUACACAGUCUGCAUUUAAAUGUUUAUGUACAUAAACAUUUAACCAUAGAAUUGCUCAGGUUGGAAAAAGACCUUAAAAAUCAAGUCCAACUGCAACAUAAUCAUACUACUCUAACAGCCCUGUGCUACCUCAUAUCCCUGAGUACCAUAUCCAAACAGUUUUUAAAUGUACAUUUUAAAUUUUCAUAGGAAAUUCUUCUAUUCAUAACCAACCAACAUUCCCACUUAAUAGUGAAGAAUUAGACUCUGGGAAUAUUGGUCUAUAGGGGAGAAGUUUAAUCCUGUCUGAAAUACAAAACAUCCUAUUGAAUCUCCUUCAGCUUUGCUGCAUAUGCAAUUAGUAAUUCGAGAUUCAGAAAACAGAAACAAAGAAGAGGAAGCUCAACAAAUAGAAUUUUGCUUGAGAAACGGAAAAAUAAAAUCUCCCUAAGGUAUUACAUGAAAGACAGUGGAAAAUCUUGACCUUUCUGCGGUCAGGAUUAUGUUUAGACCAUACUGUAUAUGAUAUGAUCUCUUAGUGGGGCAUCUUGUCAAGGGUCAGCUGCUCACAAAGAUGGUUAACAUUUACUGGCAUGCACAAAAUGGGCACUGCAAAACCUCAGUCAACUGGAAACCCUUGUCAGUUGGAUGCCUAAUUAGAUUACUUCAGCUUAAUUACAUAUUGCAUUUAAUAACAAUUUAACAGAGGCUAAUAUACUUCACAUGUCUUGGUCUCAAAGUGAUACUUUGCCCAAGAUAGUCUGUAUGUCUUACUCAGUUUCCACAAAAUAUAUUACUUUUACUGUAUUACACCCAAUCUCAUUUGUGAAAUAUGAUGUCAACUAUUUAUUUCAAUUUUUGAACAAAAAAAAUGAAUAGUUGCUAUAGCAAUUGUUAC